AGGAUGAACGCUGGCGGCGUGCUUAACACAUGCAAGUCAUGGGGGCCCAGCAAUGGGCAACCGGCGAACGGGUGCGUAACACGUGAGCAACCUACCCAGGUGUGGAGGAUAGCCGUCCCAACGGACGGGUAAUACCGCAUACGCUCAACACGAGGCAUUUCGAGUUGAGGAAACCUUCGGGGCACCAUGAGGGGCUCGCGGCCUAUCAGCUAGUUGGCGAGGUAACGGCUCACCAAGGCUACGACGGGUAGCUGGUCUGAGAGGAUGACCAGCCACAUUGGGACUGAGAAACGGCCCAGACUCCUACGGGAGGCAGCAGUGGGAAUCUUGCGCAAUGGCCUAACGGCUGACGCAGCGACGCCGCGUGAGGAUGACGCUCUUCGGAGUGUAAACCUCUUUUCGCCUGGAACGAACUAUCAGCUUCAGCUGAUUUGACGGUACCGGUAGAAUAAGCACCGGCUAACCGUCCGCGCCAGCACGCCGC
rnacentral:rRNA from 1 species